rnacentral:rRNA from 1 species
CAAGCUACUAAGGGCCAACGGUGGAUGCCUCGGCGCCUACUGCCGAUGAAGGACGUGUCAGGCUGCGAUAAGCCACGGGGAGCUGCCGAGAAAGCGUCGAUCCGUGGAUCUCCGAAUGGGGGAACCCGGCACCCGUAAUGGGGUGUCACUCCCGCCUGAACACAUAGGGCGGGUAGAGGGAACUCGGGGAACUGAAACAUCUCAGUACCCGGUAGGAAAGGAAAGCAACAGCGACUCCCUGAGUAGCGGCGAGCGAAACGGGACCAGCCCAAACCGGCCUGGUGGAAAAGCCCGGUGGCGUUGCCAGGUCGGGGUAGUGGGACCCGACGGGAGGGGCACCGGACCCUCCACGGAGUCACAAAGUCAGUCGCUAGCAGAAGCGUUCUGGAAAGGCGCGCCGAAGAGGGUAAGAGCCCCGUACGCGAAAGCGACUGACCUCCGGUCGGUGUUCCCAAGUAGCGCCGGAUCCGGGAAAGCCGGCGUGAAUCUGCGAGGACCACCUCGUAAGGCUAAGUACACGUAGGCGACCGAUAGCGAACCAGUACCGUGAGGGAAAGGUGAAAAGCACCCCGGGAGGGGAGUGAAAUAGACCUGAAACCGUUGGUCUACAAGCAGUCAGAGCGUCGUCGUCGUUCUUCGGAACGGCGGCCGCGAUGGCGUGCCUUUUGAAGAAUGAGCCAACGAGUUACGGUCAGUGGCGAGGUUAACCAGUGAUGGGAAGCCGAAGCGAAAGCGAGUCCUAAAAGGGCGCAUAGUCGCUGGCCGUAGACCCGAAGCCGAGUGAUCUAGCCAUGGGCAGGGUGAAGCGAGGGUAAGACCUCGUGGAGGCCCGAACCCACUCAGGUUGAAAACUGGGGGGAUGACCUGUGGCUAGGGGUGAAAGGCCAAGCAAACUCGGUGAUAGCUGGUUCUCCGCGAAAUGCAUUUCGGUGCAGCGUCAGGCGUUCAGUCGUGGAGGUAGAGCACUGGAUGGGCUAGGGGGCCUACAAGCUUACCGACCCCAGCCAAACUCCGAAUGCCACGACUCCAGAGCCUGGCAGUGAGUCCUCGGGGGAUGAGCUUCGAGGACGAGAGGGAGACAGCCCAGACCGCCAGCUAAGGCCCCCAAUUCCGGGCUAAGUGGUAAACGAUGUGGGACCGCCAAGACAGCCAGGAGGUUGGCUUAGAAGCAGCCAUCCUUGAAAGAGUGCGUAACAGCUCACUGGUCGAGUGGUCCUGCGCGGACAAUGUAACGGGGCUCAAGCCCGGAGCCGAAGCUGCGGGUCCGUGCAUUGCACGGGCGGUAGCGGAGCGUCGAUCUCGGAGUGAAGUCUCCGCGUGAGCGGGGGUGGACCGAGGUCGAGUGAGAAUGUUGGCAUGAGUAGCGAAAGAGGGGUGAGAAACCCCUCCGCCGGAUGCCCAAGGGUUCCUGGGGAAGGCUAAUCCGCCCAGGGUGAGUCGGGACCUAAGGCGAGGCCGAGAGGCGUAGCCGAUGGACAACCGGUCAAUAUUCCGGUACCACCGAGCCCGCGCCAAAGCCGAACCGGCACCACCAGGGGCUGCCCGUCUUCGGACGGGCGAACCGAAGUGGAGCCGGGGAGGCUAGCGAUGGGGGGACGCAGAAGGGUAGGUGAACCCGAGCGGUGGUCGACUCGGGGUAAGCGUGUAGGGCGGGGUCCAGGCAAAUCCGGGCCCCACACAAGCCUGAGACGCGAUGCCGACCUCGAAAAGAGGGAAGUCACUGAUCCCAUGCUGCCGAGAAAAGCCUCUAGCGAGCUGGCUCGGUGCCCGUACCCCAAACCGACACAGGUGGGCAGGUAGAGAAUACCGAGGCGAUCGGGAGAACGGUGGUUAAGGAACUCGGCAAAUUGCCUCCGUAACUUCGGGAGAAGGAGGACCCCAUUAGGGUGAAGGCCCUCGCGGCCGGAGCUCGAAGGGGUGGCACAGGCCAGGGGGAAGCGACUGUUUACUAAAAACACAGCAGCGUGCCAAGCCGUAAGGCGACGUAUACGCUGUGACGCCUGCCCGGUGCCGGAAGGUUAAGGGGAAGGGUCAGCUCCUUCGGGAGCGAAGCUCUGAACCUAAGCCCCGGUAAACGGCGGCCGUAACUAUAACGGUCCUAAGGUAGCGAAAUUCCUUGUCGGGUAAGUUCCGACCUGCACGAAUGGCGUAACGACUUCCCCACUGUCUCAACCACCGACCCGGCGAAAUUGAAGUACGAGUAAAGAUGCUCGUUAGCUGCAGAAGGACGGAAAGACCCCGGGACCUUUACUACAGCCUGAUAUUGGGGUCUGGUAUGGGUUGUGUAGGAUAGGUGGGAGACUGUGAAGCCGGGACGCCAGUUCCGGUGGAGUCGUCCUUGAAAUACCACCCUUCUCAUGCUGGGCCUCUAACCCAGACCCGUGAUCCGGGCCGGGGACAGUGUCAGGUGGGUAGUUUGACUGGGGCGGUCGCCUCCUAAAAGGUAACGGAGGCGCCCAAAGGUUCCCUCAGCCUGGUCGGCAAUCAGGCGUCGAGUGCAAUGGCACAAGGGAGCUUGACUGCGAGACCGACGGGUCGAGCAGGUGCGAAAGCAGGGCAUAGUGAUCCGGCGGUUGCGUGUGGAAGCGCCGUCGCUCAACGGCUAAAAGGUACCCCGGGGAUAACAGGCUUAUCUUGCCCAAGAGUCCAUAUCGACGGCAAGGUUUGGCACCUCGAUGUCGGCUCAUCGCAUCCUGGGGCUGGAGCAGGUCCCAAGGGUUGGGCUGUUCGCCCAUUAAAGCGGUACGCGAGCUGGGUUUAGAACGUCGUGAGACAGUUCGGUCCCUAUCCUCUGCAGCCGUAGGAGAUCUGAGGAGGGCUGUCCCCAGUACGAGAGGACCGGGACGGACGCAGCUCUCGUGUGCCAGUUGUCCCGCCAGGGGCACGGCUGGUUGGCGACCUGCGGAAGGGAUAACCGCUGAAGGCAUCUAAGUGGGAAGCCCGCUCCAAGACGAGAUCUCCCACCGGGACAACCGGGUAAGGCCCGUGGUAGACGACCACGUCGAUAGGCCGGAGGUGUAAGCACGGCAACGUGUUCAGCCGACCGGUACUAAUCGGCCGAGGGCUUGGUCA